UGGGGAAUAUUGGGCAAUGGAGGAAACUCUGACCCAGCGACGCCGCGUGAGGGAUGAAGGCCUUCGGGUUGUAAACCUCUUUCAGUAGGGAAGAAGCGAAAGUGACGGUACCUACAGAAGAAGCACCGGCUAACUAUGUGCCAGCAGCCGCGGUAAUACAUAGGGUGCAAGCGUUGUCCGGAAUUAUUGGGCGUAAAGAGCUCGUAGGUGGUUCGAUACGUCGGAUGUGAGAAUCAGGGGCUCAACCCCUGACCUGCAUCCGAUACGGUCGAGCUAGAGUUUGGUAGGGGAGACUGGAAUUCCUGGUGUAGCGGUGGAAUGCGCAGAUAUCAGGAGGAACACCGAUGGCGAAGGCAGGUCUCUGGGCCAAUACUGACACUGAGGAGCGAAAGCGUGGGGAGCGAACAGGAUUAGAUACCCUGGUAGUCCACGCCGUAAACGGUGGGCGCUAGUUGUGCGAACCUUCCACGGUUUGUGCGACGCAGCUAACGCAUUAAGCGCCCCGCCUGGGGAGUACGAUCGCAAGAUUA
rnacentral:rRNA from 1 species